UACGUAGGAGGCGAGCGUUGUCCGGAAUUAUUGGGCGUAAAGGGUGCGUAGGCGGUCGGGUAAGUCUGAUGUGAAAUCUCACAGCUUAACUGUGAAACUGCAUUGGAUACUAUCCGGCUCGAGGAAUGGAGGGGAGACUGGAAUACUUGGUGUAGCAGUGAAAUGCGUAGAUAUCAAGUGGAACACCAGUGGCGAAGGCGAGUCUCUGGACAUUUCCUGACGCUGAGGCACGAAAGCCAGGGGAGCAAACGGG
rnacentral:rRNA from 1 species